UAUACGUGCUAGGGGUGCUGAAAAGCUGAGAGGGAGAAAUCCUAACCCUUUGAACCUGAUGUGAUUAGAAUCACCGUAGGAAAGCUGAAUUUAAGUUUA
rnacentral:ncRNA from 2 species